ACCCAUUGUUAUAUAGUCUGUACGUAGCUUAUCACUACAAACCAUCAAAGUCACCUUUCUGCCUAAUACUGGUUGCUCAUGGUAAGCAGGUUAGUACCUGGAUGGGAGACCACGCGGGAAAAUAGGUUGCUGUGGGAA
rnacentral:rRNA from 1 species